CCAAUGUGGACAUCCUAUGAGGUUGCUCUUGUGGGCUCUGUCCUGGCGGCAUAUGGGAGCAUAGCGUUAUAUGCGCAGUGAUGUACAGUCCCCUUCCGCAACAUUGGAGAUUAAGAUUUGUCCCCGGCCUAUAGGCUGGAGUGGGCAGUAUCCUGUAUAUUCCUACAACUUCCCAGAGUCCUUGGGCAAUGACUGUGAAGAUAAACCAUGCAGGAUACAAUG